ACUGGGGCGCUGGUCGGUGCGCGGGCUGGGACGCUAAGUCAUGAGGAAUUAAACUGGGAAACCUGGCGUGGGUCCAGGCGCCUUCCAGGAGGCAUCCGGCGCGGCCCGGACGUGCUUCUACCCAGAACCACCCCCUCCAGGCCGGGGUGCACUUAACGGGGCUAUACAAAGAGUCUGGUGGGUGACUGUGGGCCUCAUCCCUAUCCCGGGGUCUGAUAGGGAAGACUCUCGGGCCCCGCAGGGAAUAUCUGGCUAGUGCACCCUCGGCGGGAGCGCCACUCUCCCUCCUUGGGCGGCGCCCCCCACCUCUCAUCCCGCCCAAUCCGUUUUGCAAAGUCGGCCAAAACAAAAACAAACUUGGAGCGCUGAUAGACACUGUUAUUGCCCAUCUGAACUCGUCAACUGAGAAGGAAAGAGAUGGUUUAUGCUGUGAAUAAAAUACAGUUGUGCUGUGAUGUAAAUCCCCUCAUCCUGGAGCAGCUGAGCAAGGUCUAAGGCAGGAAGAACCUUCAAGCAGGUCAUGGCGGGUCCAGAGGAAAAAAAAUGCAGAACUCCUCAUUGAAAAAUUACUAAGAAUUUCAAGAUGGUGGCAACAGAGCAUUAAACCAACCACAGGGUCUUUCUAACAUGGAGAACUAAGUGACUACACAGGGUGCAGGCUCAACUCUGCCUGGCAGUGGCAAGGGCCAGGGCCAGUGACUGAAGCAACAAACUGCCAGAUGACUGCAGCUCAAGCCAAUGCACAAAGCCACUGCAACAAGAGAGGAAAUUCUUCCAUUUCCAAGUGUGUCGAUUUCUCCCCAUCAAGGAAAACAGCUAAGGCAAUGUGUUGAUAUUUUCUUUGACCAAGUCAUCAGGAGUCACAUAGACAUACAGCACUCAAGAAGUGGCUGUAACUAAAGGCACAUCUCGUUCAUCUACAACCCUUGUAAUCCCAACCUUUGUCUGAUGCACAAACCCUUCCCUAGUUCUCCCCACCACCACCACUGCACCUCCAAGUGGGGACAACGAAUUGUUUCAUUUGCAUGUGGUUUUUCUCAUGAAAAAUAUCAUUAACAUGAGACAGCCCCAAACCAAGGAAACCAGAAGUGGGGUUUGUGCUUGGUCUUACUGAGAGCUUUCCCUACUUGACCAGACCCCAGCAUUGUUCUAGAUUUGUCUCUUGUGGGCUACAGGAAUGCAAACAUUUUGUAGUUUCCUCUUUUUUGUUUUCUUAAUGGCUUGAUGAGCCACACAUGUUUCUCUAAAUGCAUGAUUUUAAAUUCACACAGGCAGCCUCUAGGAGCUGAGGGUGCCCUCCAGCUGACAUCCAGAAAGAAAUUGAAGCCCUAGGUUGUGAAACCACAAGGACGUGAAUUCUGCCAACACAUAAUGUGAGUUUGAAAG
rnacentral:lncRNA from 1 species